CAGACUCCUUUGAAGGGCUCACCAUGGCGACCUGGGCUCUGCUUUUCCUUGCUCUUUUCAGUUUCUGCUCAGGUGCCAGUUCCCAGGCAACUAUAACUCAGCCUGCCUCCACAUCUGGAUCCCUGGGCGAAACUGUGACACUCUCCUGCACCAGAAGCAGUGGGAGCUGGCAAAGCUUGUAUCACUGGUACCAACAGAGACCUGGACAGGGUCCUCGCUUUGUGCACCGGCCAGGUGGCAGCCGGGGAGAAGGGAUCCCGGAUCGGUUCACUGCCACUGGCUCUGGGGACAACUACCUUUUGACCAUCACUAACGUCCAGGCUGAUGACGAGGGCGAUUAUUACUGUGGCGAAUUUGAGAGCACUGGUGGUUGGAAGUUCCACAGUGAUACCGUCUAA